CACCGUCAGAGUAGAAAGACUGAAGAGCUUUUGUGAGUUUGUUGGCCAGGAGUACCAUAACAUUUUAGGACACAGCAAUGUUUGCUGGAUGUCCAUGCUCCCUGUUCUAGAAAGAGUGCUGAAAAGGUAUGUGCCAUUUUAAAUCCUUUUUUCUUUCUGAAGACAAAUGCCCUGUUGUCCUGCGAACAAUGUUCGAAGAUCCACUGACUGAACUUUGGCUGGACUUUGUCCAUGGAAACCUGACCGUAUUCAGUGACACGAUCAAGAUGCUUGAAGGCCAGGACCGCUGUGCUGUGAAGUCAGCUGCAAUUCAGAGAAACAUUGAGGCAAAAUUGACUGCAAGACGUGAUGACAACUUCAUUCCAGUUUUGGUCAGAGGACUUCUGAGAGAGCUAGAGGGAAAUGGUGCAAUGUCUAAAGAGAGCUUUCUCAAAACAUCCCAAUCAUUCUUCACUACGGCUGUGAACUACUUGCAGGCAUUGGGAAAGCACACAGAUAAUCUAAAAGAUUUACAUUGUCUCCUUUUAAAAAGGCAACCUCAGCGUGAAGAGAUCCAGAAGGUAGCAGCCACACUGCAGGAAAAAUGCCCCAAUGUGACCAUCAAUGAGGAUGCAUUGCUUGACGAGGUUACUCGGAGACACCGCUUAGUCAGAGAUGGAGCAAGGUGGUUACCCACUUCAAAGAGAACGACAUCCCACACACUAACCUGGCUAGAUUAGCGUCUGUUGUCAUGUGCUUACCUGGAAGUAGUGCACCAGUCGAGUGUUCUCCCAAAUGAAUGAUAUAUGGACAGCAGCAAGAAAUAGGUUCACUGUUCCUACCAUCAAGGCCAUGCUUAUUGUGAAGACAAACUUCAACCUCCCCUGCCAGGAGUUCAUGGAGAAGCUGGCCAAAGACAUAGCAAUCCUGAAUAAGAUACAUUCUUCCGAGAAAUAUACAGAUUAGACUACCAGGACCAGGAAUGGCUGUUCAGAUCGGACAGUUCUGUGUUUCUGUAAUAUAGUUGUUUUCGCUAUCACAGUGUGCCUGUUAGAGUAAAUACAUGAAACCGGAAUUGUCCCCCUUUUUUUAUUUCAUAGAUAAUAACAUUGGAUAUUUUAAUGAUAUAUUGAUCGCCGAACUGGAAAUGUCCCUGGUUUUAAUUUCAGAAAUCUGGUCGCCUUACAUUUAUGUGACUUAUGUUGCAGAGACAGCUUCUCCCGCUCUCGUUUGGCAACUUUUCCCACUUAAUUCUGCCACAAAUGAAACCAUUGGUGUCAACACUCCCUAAGGGUAGCUUGAAACGUAGCUGAAUUUGUCACUAGAAUCUUUUAUUCCCCCAAAAAUAGCUGAAGGGGUCUGAACUCACUAAAUAGGCUAUAGGGGGCUUGCAGUUGUCACAAAUCACCUAGCAACUGCACCAGGCGCCAUGUUGGAAGACCAGAGUCAGUAUGUUCGAUGCCUCCAAUGGUCCACUUGACUAGCUGCGUUCUGCUACCACUGUAAACUUCGGGAAGAUUGCAAAUUUUUUCUAAGGACCCAGAAAACUGAGGCAGUGGGAGAACCUAUUCAAAGAGCUGUGAAACCCUGUCUGCAGAAGAGGUCGCAAUGAAUGUCCCAAGAGAAUAAGGCUACAUCCUUGUAUACCAUUGAUUAAAUGUGUACCUAUGUUGGCAAAUUUUGUGAACAAAAAAAACUGUUUCAAAGUCACACACAAUGUAUAAACCUAUUACAACUGGAGCCGGCCAACCCUGCUGGGUGUGCACACUUCUGUUCCAGCCCAGCACUAACACGCCUGAUUCAAUAUAGCAAACUUAAUAAUCAAGUGUGCUAUUGCUGGGCUGGAAUGUAAGUCUGCUCACCAGGAGAUCAGUGGAGCGAGGUUGGUCACUGGUAUUGACUUCUUGGGUAUGAUGCUACAAGCAUGGCACACCUGUAUUUGGGGAGUUUCUCCCAUUCUUCUCUGCA